rnacentral:lncRNA from 13 species
UGACAUCGUAUUAUUGCAGCUGGUUAUUGGGAAAUACAACAUCCAAAAGAACACUUGCUCCACUUUUAGCAGUUUUUGUCUACUACAUGUUCUCAAGUAGGUGUGGGGUUUACCAUCUAUUAGAGCCAAAUUGUUCAAAUGAAUGCAAGCAACAAAGGAGGCGAGGAUACAUCAGCUUUGGCUGUUGAUGACCUCUUUCAUUUUACACAAAACACGAAUGAAAGAUAUUGAUUAAUGGUGGAUACCUAUAAAUAAACAAAAAGAAAGAGGAUGCUUGCUAUAGUUGAUUAGUAGGCAUGAGCUAUGCUAAAUAAUCAAAAGUUAAAGUCCUUUGGAUUUGACCCUGCCUUCUUUUGUCAUUAUACACAAUUGUUUAUGAAUCUGAAGAAUUUUCUCCUAAGCUUAUUUAAAGACCAAACAUUCAGUGCAGCAUCCUCAUCUAGAUGCUGAUAUGUGAAGAUGUAUUUAUAAAAUAAACUUUACGUGUCUACGCAAACACCAUUAAUUUUUUAAAAGAGCUGAUUAUAACUUGAGGAAUCAGGGUGAUAACCAAAAGCAAUAGCAUUUCUGGCUUCUGGAGCUAUAAAAUUAGCUAGGUAAUGACAUUCUUUUCAGCUGAUUAAUUUUUUUUUUCUAGCUGGGACAUCUGUUGUCAUUUGAAAACUGUCCAGUAUGAAUAUCUGAAGCAGAUGGGAACAGCAUGGAAGAUGUCAGAUUUACUUGUGGUGUUUUUGGAAAUAUGUUAAUAAUAUAUUGUUGAUCUUCCUUGGAGCAUGCCAUACCAGAAGACUACCAAGAGAAAAACAGCGGAUCUGGAGAAAGAGAUGGCGUGUGAAAAUAAAAUAUUUAAAUGUAAAUUUUAUUAAAACAGGUUUCCCACCUGUCUCUUUUUUUCUUUUCUUUUUUUUUGAGACAGAGUUUCGCUCUUGUUACCCAGACUGGAGUGCAAUGGCACAAUCUCGGCUCACCACAACCUCCGCCUUCUGAGUUCAAGCAAUUCUCCUGCCUCAGCCUCCCAAGUAGCUGGGACUACAGGCACACGCCACCAUGCCCAGCUAAUUUUGGUAUUUUUAGUAGAGACAGGGUUUCACCUUGUUGACCAGGAUGAUCUCGAUCUCUUGACCUCGUGAUCCGCCCGCCUCAGCCUCUCAAAGUGCUGGGAUUAUAGGCGUGAGCCACCAUGCCCGGCCACCUGUCUCUUUCUCCCACUUUCUCCAAUGCCUUUUUUAUGUGUAGUCUUUGUCAUAAUUAAGGAAAUGUUUAUUUCCUAAUUUAUUUGUUCUGUCUCAUAAAUAGGUUAUCCUUAAGUGCUGAUGAGAUAAUUAACAUUCAAGAAAGACAAUUUAAAGUACCUGCCAAAUGCACAUGCCCAGGGCUCUAAGGGCCACACAGCUGGAGGUGAGCAGUGAGCCAGUGAGCGAAGCCUCAUCUGCGUUUACAGCCUUCCCCAUUACUCCCACUACUGCCUGAGCUGUGCCCCUAUCACAUCAGCGGCAGCAUUAGAUGCUCAUAGAAGUGUAAACCCUAUUGUGAACUGCGCAUACCAGGGAUCUAGGUUACGUGCUCCCUACAAGAAUCUAAUGCCUGAUAAUCUGUCACUGCCACCCAUCACUCCCAUAUGGGGCCAUCUAAAUGCAGGUAAACAAGCUCAGGGCCCCCACUGAUUCCACAUUAUGGUGAGUUAUAUCAUUAUUUCAUUAUAGAUUACAAUGGAAUAAUAAUAGAAACAAAGUGCACAAUAAAUGUAAUGCGCUUGAAUCA